GGCAUUUAAACUUGCUGCUGCCUUGCUCCAAUCUUUUUGCCGAGACCACCCCCAUCCAUGAACCAGGAACACGCUCUUUAUCUGCAGCUCCCCCUCCUCUUUGACAGGAGCUGAGAGGAUUGGUUAGAUAGGGGAGCUCUGAGGACUUCGUUUACUGUAAAGCACAGAAACGAGAAGGACACCCGUCCCUGUUUUAAAGGGCAGAAGGAGGCAGAGGAGUAGGAAGAGGAGGGGGAGACAUAGAUGUGCAGAGAGAAUUAAUGCUUACCAGUAUCCAGGAGCUGUCCACACUGCCUGAGCAUGCCACUGUGUCACCAACAGCAGACAGAUGCAAGUCCAGCGCCUGCCUUCUGUACAGUCCCUCACUGCCUACAGGGACCAAGGGAUAUGUGUAGGGGUCAGUGAGCUAAGGGCUACUGGGGGCCAAAACACAGUGAGCACCACAGGAGUCUCGGAAUUGAGUGCUAGCAUCUAAUUCAAUAUUCCUGCCUACAUACAAAUAGCACGUCAGUGGCAGAGCAGCAGCAGCAACGGACGGAAUAUUUUGUAAUUAGGUUUUGCGUAUGUUAGCUGAACUUUUUACAAGAAGAGCUCUGACUGCGUGGAAGUGUUGAUGUGCUCAUGUAUGUUGGUGGUAGUUAAAUUAUGGGUUGGAAGGAAAGACACUGAAUGAAAGGCAGUGUGAAGAAGAUGUUCAUAGUAACACAUCUUCCUGCACCAGUCAUGAGUAAGGCUAAAAGUUAGAGGUCAGCAACACUUUGCUUCUUUUGCUCAGGUUGAAACAAAAACUCACAUUUUAUGUCUCUUCUGUCAAUGCCAGAGGGGUGAAACCUGAUUCAUUUGCUGAAUAAUUUGUCAAUAAAACAUUCAAUAAUUUGGUAUAUAAGUGUCAGGAAAGUGUUUGUCCUAUAGUUUACAGAGACCAAGGCAAAGUUUUCAAAUGUUAGAAUUCAUCCAGACAAUGGCCUAAAAUCCCAAAGACAUUAUGGUAAAUGGUCUGAUACUGCCCCACUACUUCCAUGGCUUCAGUCUAAAGGGAGUGAUGGAAACCUUUUACUAAAUGUUCCAAUAGCGACCAGAAGCAGAUUUGGAAAAGGGAGGAUUCAUGUUGUAAGAUCAUUGUUUGCAUGUCCUGCAUUCACUGUAAAAACCCCCAACCCCCCCCAGUGCCCUGCCCGUCUUAAAUGUGGUGUAUGAGUUUGCAUUAUGUAUGUGUCUUUAUGUGUGUGCACAGAUUCGGAUCCUCAUAACAUUUCUAUCAGUUUUUAAGUGUAUUUUGUACUGCUAGCUUUAUUGCCUUUGACAUAGUUUCAUUUCCAGAAAAACAGGAAGCAGAGAUGGUUGUCUUGCACUUCUGUUCCAGAGGCCACAGCAAACGUGACCCUGGAUGUGCAAUGAUGUACUUGUGCGCAGUGUUUGAGUGUACGUGAGCGUAUGUAUCCCGCUGUCAUACAGUAUGUGCUGAAAGGCAGAUGACACAGUUCUUGUUGUGCGUCAGACAGCAAGCGUUGGCUUUCGUCAAACUUUUUAUUUUUUUGUUUUGUGAUCUCUUUCUGUGUUUCAGUCUAGAUUGAUGCCAUGAACCACAGUGUCUUGUCACUUGUAGUCAAGAAGUGGAAGUGGGUCAUUAUGAGCAGUCCCCAUUCUGCACAAAUGUGUUACAUCUGACACUGUUUUCAUUGGAGUUUAGCC